GAUGAAGAACGCAGCGAAAUGCGAUAAGUAAUGUGAAUUGCAGAAUUCAGUGAAUCAUCGAAUCUUUGAACGCACAUUGCGCCCUUUGGUAUUCCAAAGGGCAUGCCUGUUCGAGCGUCAUUUGUACCCUCAAGCUUUGCUUGGUGUUGGGCGUUUUUUUGUCUUUGGUUAUGCCAAAGACUCGCCUUAAAACGAUUGGCAGCCGGCCUCCUGGUUUCGCAGCGCAGCACAUUUUUGCGCUUGCAAUCAGCAAUAGAGGGCGGCACUCCAUCAAGACACUUUUUUUCACGUUUGACCUCGGAUCAGGUAGGGAUACCCGCUGAACUUAAGCAUAUCAAUAAGCGGAGGA
rnacentral:misc_RNA from 1 species